rnacentral:sRNA from 1 species
AUUCUGCCCAAGCGGGGAAGGAUAAGAAGCUUCGACCAAGGUUCGACUUGAGCGCCAGCGAGAGAGCGUUGCCGCAGGCAACGACCCGAAGGGCGAAGCGCGCAGCGCUGAGUAAUCCUUCCCCCACCACCA